rnacentral:misc_RNA from 1 species
GCCAAGGAUGCCUUUCGGGCCUGAGGCACAGCUGAAGGUAUGAAUGUCGGGGGAAUCGAGGAGAUCGGUGCAACGGAACUGGCAUCCAUCGGUGGUUCAGAAUGUUUAGGAUGAGAAGCUGAGGUUUGUAUAGGUUUAACAGCAGUUGGUAGCUCAAUGUUACUACAAGAUCCUACUCCUGCAUUAUGACCCUUAGAAUGCGGAGUUGAAAGGCCAAGGAGUGGCAUUCCUUGGAAACUUUCACCAGGGAAUGAUGAUGUCUUCACCUGACCUGUUGAAAG